rnacentral:rRNA from 1 species
AAUUGNACGGGGGUCCGCACNANCGGUGGAGCAUGNGGUUUAAUUCNGAUNAUACGCGAGGGAACCUUACANGGNCUCGAACGCUNCUUNAUCGGUNUNGAAAGGGAUNUUUCCUUCGGGACAAGUAGUGAGGUGCUGCAUGGUUGUCGUCAGCUCGUGCCGUGAGGUGUUGGGUUAAGUCCCGCAACGAGCGCAACCCCUAUCUUUAGUUGCCAACACGUAAUGGUGGGGACUCUAAAGAGACUGCCUCCGUAAGGAGUGAGGAAGGAAGGGAUGACGUCAAAUCAUCAUGGCCUUUAUGCCCAGGGCUACACACGUGCUACAAUGGCACCUACAGAGGGGAGCAAUACUGCGAAGUGGAGCGAAUCUCAGAAAGGGUGUCCCAGUUCGGAUUGAAGUCUGCAACUCGGCUUCAUGAAGUUGGAAUCGCUAGUAAUCGCGCAUCAGCCAUGGCGCGGUGAAUACGUUCCCGGACCUUGUACACACCNCCCGUCAAGCCAUGGGAGUCGGGGGUGCCUGAAGAUGGUGAUCCUGAAUGAGGGAGGCUAUACUANGGGUAAAANCUGGUAACCUACGGANUAAGUCGUAACCAAGGUAACCAAC